AACGAACGCUGGCGGCAGGCUUAACACAUGCAAGUCGAACGGGUGUAGCAAUACACCAGUGGCAGACGGGUGAGUAACACGUGGGAACCUUCCUAGGGGUACGGAACAACUCAGGGAAACUUGAGCUAAUACCGUAUACGUCCGUGAGGAGAAAGAUUUAUCGCCCUUAGACGGGCCCGCGUCGGAUUAGCUAGUUGGUGGGGUAACGGCCUACCAAGGCGACGAUCCGUAGCUGAUCUUAGAGGAUGAUCAGCCACACUGGGACUGAGACACGGCCCAGACUCCUACGGGAGGCAGCAGUGGGGAAUCUUGGACAAUGGGCGCAAGCCUGAUCCAGCCAUGCCGCGUGAGUGAAGAAGGCCUUAGGGUUGUAAAGCUCUUUUACCAGGGACGAUAAUGACGGUACCUGGAGAAUAAGCCCCGGCAAACUUCGUGCCAGCAGCCGCCGUAACAC
rnacentral:rRNA from 1 species